rnacentral:rRNA from 1 species
GCUAUCGACAGGCUUAACACAUGCAAGUCGAGGGGCAGCACAGGUAGCAAUACCGGGUGGCGACCGGCGCACGGGUGAGUAACGCGUAUGCAACUUGCCUAUCAGAGGGGGAUAACCCGGCGAAAGUCGGACUAAUACCGCAUGAAGCAGGGAUCCCGCAUGGGAAUAUUUGCUAAAGAUUCAUCGCUGAUAGAUAGGCAUGCGUUCCAUUAGGCAGUUGGCGGGGUAACGGCCCACCAAACCGACGAUGGAUAGGGGUUCUGAGAGGAAGGUCCCCCACAUUGGUACUGAGACACGGACCAAACUCCUACGGGAGGCAGCAGUGAGGAAUAUUGGUCAAUGGCCGAGAGGCUGAACCAGCCAAGUCGCGUGAGGGAUGAAGGUUCUAUGGAUCGUAAACCUCUUUUAUAAGGGAAUAAAGUGCGGGACGUGUCCCGUUUUGUAUGUACCUUAUGAAUAAGGAUCGGCUAACUCCGUGCCAGCAGCCGCGGUAAUACGGAGGAUCCGAGCGUUAUCCGGAUUUAUUGGGUUUAAAGGGUGCGUAGGCGGCCUUUUAAGUCAGCGGUGAAAGUCUGUGGCUCAACCAUAGAAUUGCCGUUGAAACUGGGGGGCUUGAGUAUGUUUGAGGCAGGCGGAAUGCGUGGUGUAGCGGUGAAAUGCUUAGAUAUCACGCAGAACCCCGAUUGCGAAGGCAGCCUGCCAAGCCAUUACUGACGCUGAUGCACGAAAGCGUGGGGAUCAAACAGGAUUAGAUACCCUGGUAGUCCACGCAGUAAACGAUGAUCACUAGCUGUUUGCGAUACAUUGUAAGCGGCACAGCGAAAGCGUUAAGUGAUCCACCUGGGGAGUACGCCGGCAACGGUGAAACUCAAAGGAAUUGACGGGGGCCCGCACAAGCGGAGGAACAUGUGGUUUAAUUCGAUGAUACGCGAGGAACCUUACCCGGGUUUGAACGCAUUCGGACCGAGGUGGAAACACCUUUUCUAGCAAUAGCCGUUUGCGAGGUGCUGCAUGGUUGUCGUCAGCUCGUGCCGUGAGGUGUCGGCUUAAGUGCCAUAACGAGCGCAACCCUUGCCACUAGUUACUAACAGGUGAUGCUGAGGACUCUGGUGGGACUGCCAGCGUAAGCUGCGAGGAAGGCGGGGAUGACGUCAAAUCAGCACGGCCCUUACAUCCGGGGCGACACACGUGUUACAAUGGCGUGGACAAAGGGAGGCCACCUGGCGACAGGGAGCGAAUCCCCAAACCACGUCUCAGUUCGGAUCGGAGUCUGCAACCCGACUCCGUGAAGCUGGAUUCGCUAGUAAUCGCGCAUCAGCCAUGGCGCGGUGAAUACGUUCCCGGGCCUUGUACACACCGCCCGUCAAGCCAUGGGAGCCGGGGGUACCUGAAGUCCGUAACCGCGAGGAUCGGCCUAGGGUAAAACU